AGCGAACGCUGGCGGCGUGCCUAACACAUGCAAGUCGAACGUGAAAAGGGAAACCUGAGUAAAGUGGCGUACGGGUGAGUAACGCGUAGGUAAUCUACCCCAGAAUCUGGAAUAACCUGCCGAAAGGCGGGCUAAUACUGGCUAUAGCGAGGGAACUCGUAAGAGAGUUUUUCGGGGAGGGGAGCCCGCAAGGGCCUUCGGUCUGGGCUGAGCCUGCGUCUCAUUAUCUAGUUGGUAAGGUAACGGCUUACCAAGGCGAUGAUGAGUAGCUGGUCUGAGAGGAUGAUCAGCCAAACUGGAACUGAAACACGGGCCAGACUCCUACGGGAGGCAGCAGUGGGGAAUCUUGCGACAUGGACGAAAGUCUGACGCAGGCACGCCGCGGGAGUGAAGAAGGCCUUCGGGUUGUAAAGCUCUGUCGGAUGGGAAGAACAUAUUCAUAGUGAAUAGCUAUGAGGACUGACGGUACCAUAAAAGGAAGCACCGGCUAACUCCGUG
rnacentral:rRNA from 1 species